rnacentral:rRNA from 1 species
GACGAACGCUGGCGGCGUGCUUAACACAUGCAAGUCGAGCGAUGAAGCACCUUCGGGUGUGGAUUAGCGGCGAACGGGUGAGGAACACGUGAGGAAUCUGCCUUCCACUCUGGGAUAACUCCGGGAAACCGGGGCUAAUACCGGAUACUUUCAACUGGCGGCAUCGCCGGUUGAAGAAAGUUUUUCGGUGGAAGAUGACCUCGCGGCCUAUCAGCUUGUUGGUGAGGUAAUGGCUCACCAAGGCGACGACGGGUAGCCGGCCUGAGAGGGCGACCGGCCACACUGGGACUGAGGCACGGCCCAGACUCCUCCGGGAGGCAGCAGUGGGGAAUAUUGGGCAAUGGAGGAAACUCUGACCCAGCGACGCCGCGUGAGGGAUGAAGGCCUUCGGGUUGUAAACCUCUUUCAGCAGGGAAUAAGCGAAAGUGAAGGUACCUGCAGAAGAAGCACCGGCUAACUAUGUGCCAGCCGCCGCAGUAA